rnacentral:rRNA from 1 species
AGUGAACGCUGGCGGUAGGCCUAACACAUGCAAGUCGAACGGCAGCACAGUAAGAGCUUGCUCUUACGGGUGGCGAGUGGCGGACGGGUGAGGAAUACAUCUGAAUCUACUUUUUCGUGGGGGAUAACGUAGGGAAACUUACGCUAAUACCGCAUACGACCUACGGGUGAAAGCAGGGGAUCUUCGGACCUUGCUCGAUUGAAUGAUCCGAUGUCGGAUUAGCUAGUUGGCGGGGUAAAGGCCCACCAAGGCGACGAUCCGUAGCUGGUCUGAGAGGAUGAUCAGCCACACUGGAACUGAGACACGGUCCAGACUCCUACGGGAGGCAGCAGUGGGGAAUAUUGGACAAUGGGCGCAAGCCUGAUACAGCCAUACCGCGUGGGUGAAGAAGGCCUUCGGGUUGUAAAGCCCUUUUGUUGGGAAAGAAAAGCAGCAGGUUAAUACCCCGCUGUUCUGACGGUACCCAAAGAAUAAGCACCGGCUAACUUCGUG